rnacentral:tRNA from 1 species
GGGCGAGUGGCGGAAUGGUAGACGCGCAGCGUUCAGGACGCUGUGGCCCUAAAGGCCGUGGAGGUUCAAGUCCUCUCUCGCCCACCA